rnacentral:rRNA from 1 species
GUGUCAGCCGCCGCGGUAAAACGGAGGGUGCAAGCGUUGUUCGGAAUUACUGGGCGUAAAGCGCGUGCAGGUGGUUUUCUAAGUUUCGUGUGAAAUCCCACGGCUUAACUGUGGAACGGCACGGAAAACUGGAAAGCUUGAAUACGGGAGAAGAGGGCGGAAUUCCCAGUGUAGAGGUGAAAUUCGUAGAUAUUGGGAGGAACACCGGUGGCGAAAGCGGCUCUCUAGACCGAUAUUGACGCUCAUACGCGAGAGCGUGGGUAGCAAACAGGAUUAGAUACCCCCGUAGUCC